GUCUGUAAGGAAGCACGAAUGUCCCCAUGACUGCACUGGGGAGGAGGUGUGCACCUUGUGUUUAUCCUGCCACAAGAUUUGGGCACUGAGGGCUCUCCAGGCAGCCUGUUCUGGUGUGGCAGUAUCCUUGCAGUUAGAAAGGCUUCCCAAUGUCUAGUCCCUGCCCUUGCUUUGCAGAUCACUGCAGGUCUCACUCACAUGGACUUUUCCCUCAGUGAGUUUUCCAAGUGAUUGCUACAGCUACAGGAUUAUGGAAGCAGCAUUAUUAGCAGUCUAGGUUGAAUGUCACCAGCUGACUCCAGAACACCCACUUUGGCUAGACAGAACUGCAGAACUUGUAGCAUGAAGGCUAAUGCUCAAAACAAGGGAUUUAAAUGUUUAAAGCCUCAAGAGGACAAGUAUUGGUGGCAGUGCUUCUCCAAUUGCUUGCCCACUGCAGGACUUCAGCAAGGACACUGGGGGAAACGAUUCUCAUGAGAGGGUUUGUACUGUGCCUGCAGCAGGCAGAGCCCUGCCUGUGCUGGCUUUUGUCUGAUAGUUCAG